rnacentral:rRNA from 1 species
UACGUAGGUGGCGAGCGUUGUCCGGAAUUACUGGGCGUAAAGGGUGCGUAGGCGGAAUCUUAAGUCAGAUGUGAAAUCCCAGGGCUCAACCCUGGAGUGGCAUUUGAAACUAGGGUUCUAGAGUGCAGGAGAGGGAAGCGGAAUUCCUAGUGUAGCGGUGAAAUGCGUAGAUAUUAGGAAGAACACCAGUGGCGAAGGCGGCUUUCUGGACUGUAACUGACGCUGAGGCACGAAAGCGUGGGGAGCAAAC